rnacentral:rRNA from 1 species
GCUCAGAAACUUAAAGGAAUUGACGGGGGCCCGCACAAGCGGUGGAGCAUGUGGUUUAAUUCGAUGAUACGCGAGGAACCUUACCUGGGCUCAAAUGUAUGUUGACGUAUUCUGAAAGGGAUACUUCUUCGGACAAUAUACAAGGUGCUGCAUGGUUGUCGUCAGCUCGUGCCGUGAGGUGUCGGGUUAAGUCCCAUAACGAGCGCAACCCCUAUCAUUAGUUGCCAUCAGGUCAAGCUGGGGACUCUAAUGAAACUGCCUACGCAAGUAGUGAGGAAGGUGGGGAUGACGUCAAAUCAGCACGGCCCUUACGUCCAGGGCUACACACGUGCUACAAUGGCCGGUACAAAGGGCAGCUACCUGGUGACAGGAUGCUAAUCUCAAAAGCCGGUCUCAGUUCGGAUCGGAGUCUGCAACCCGACUCCGUGAGGCUGGAAUCGCUAGUAAUCGCGCAUCAGCCAUGGCGCGGUGAAUACGUUCCCGGGCCUU